rnacentral:rRNA from 1 species
AACGCGAAGAACCUUACCUACCCUUGACAUCCUGAGAAUUCUGCAGAGAUGUGGAAGUGCCGAAAGGAACUCAGAGACAGGUGCUGCAUGGCUGUCGUCAGCUCGUGUUGUGAGAUGUUGGGUUAAGUCCCGUAACGAGCGCAACCCUUAUCCUUAGUUGCCAACAUGUAAUGGUGGGGACUCUAAGGAGACUGCUGGUGAUGAACCGGAGGAAGGUGGGGACGACGUCAAGUCAUCAUGGCCUUUAUGGGUAGGGCUACACACGUGCUACAAUGGGCAGUACAGAGAGAAGCCAACUCGCGAGAGGGAGCGGAUCUCAGAAAGCUGUUCGUAGUCCGGAUUGGAGUCUGCAACUCGACUCCAUGAAGUUGGAAUCGCUAGUAAUCGCGAAUCAGCAUGUCGCGGUGAAUACGUUCCCGGGCCUUGUACACACCGAGACGUA